rnacentral:rRNA from 1 species
UGUAUAAUGGGUCAGCGACUUAUAUUCUGUAGCAAGGUUAACCGAAUAGGGGAGCCGAAGGGAAACCGAGUCUUAACUGGGCGUUAAGUUGCAGGGUAUAGACCCGAAACCCGGUGAUCUAGCCAUGGGCAGGUUGAAGGUUGGGUAACACUAACUGGAGGACCGAACCGACUAAUGUUGAAAAAUUAGCGGAUGACUUGUGGCUGGGGGUGAAAGGCCAAUCAAACCGGGAGAUAGCUGGUUCUCCCCGAAAGCUAUUUAGGUAGCGCCUCGUGAAUUCAUCUCCGGGGGUAGAGCACUGUUUCGGCAAGGGGGUCAUCCCGACUUACCAACCCGAUGCAAACUGCGAAUACCGGAGAAUGUUAUCACGGGAGACACACGGCGGGUGCUAACGUCCGUCGUGAAGAGGGAAACAACCCAGACCGCCAGCUAAGGUCCCAAAGUCAUGGUUAAGUGGGAAACGAUGUGGGAAGGCCCAGACAGCCAGGAUGUUGGCUUAGAAGCAGCCAUCAUUUAAAGAAAGCGUAAUAGCUCACUGGUCGAGUCGGCCUGCGCGGAAGAUGUAACGGGGCUAAACCAUGCACCGAAGCUGCGGCAGCGACACUAUGUGUUGUUGGGUAGGGGAGCGUUCUGUAAGCCUGUGAAGGUGGCCUGUGAGGGUUGCUGGAGGUAUCAGAAGUGCGAAUGCUGACAUAAGUAACGAUAAAGCGGGUGAAAAGCCCGCUCGCCGGAAGACCAAGGGUUCCUGUCCAACGUUAAUCGGGGCAGGGUGAGUCGACCCCUAAGGCGAGGCCGAAAGGCGUAGUCGAUGGGAAACAGGUUAAUAUUCCUGUACUUGGUGUUACUGCGAAGGGGGGACGGAGAAGGCUAUGUUGGCCGGGCGACGGUUGUCCCGGUUUAAGCGUGUAGGCUGGUUUUCCAGGCAAAUCCGGAAAACCAAGGCUGAGGCGUGAUGACGAGGCACUACGGUGCUGAAGCGACAAAUGCCCUGCUUCCAGGAAAAGCCUCUAAGCAUCAGGUAACAUCAAAUCGUACCCCAAACCGACACAGGUGGUCAGGUAGAGAAUACCAAGGCGCUUGAGAGAACUCGGGUGAAGGAACUAGGCAAAAUGGUGCCGUAACUUCGGGAGAAGGCACGCUGAUAUGUAGGUGAAGCGACUUGCUCGUGGAGCUGAAAUCAGUCGAAGAUACCAGCUGGCUGCAACUGUUUAUUAAAAACACAGCACUGUGCAAACACGAAAGUGGACGUAUACGGUGUGACGCCUGCCCGGUGCCGGAAGGUUAAUUGAUGGGGUUAGCGGCAACGCGAAGCUCUUGAUCGAAGCCCCGGUAAACGGCGGCCGUAACUAUAACGGUCCUAAGGUAGCGAAAUUCCUUGUCGGGUAAGUUCCGACCUGCACGAAUGGCGUAAUGAUGGCCAGGCUGUCUCCACCCGAGACUCAGUGAAAUUGAACUCGCUGUGAAGAUGCAGUGUACCCGCGGCAAGACGGAAAGACCCCGUGAACCUUUACUAUAGCUUGACACUGAACAUUGAGCCUUGAUGUGUAGGAUAGGUGGGAGGCUUUGAAGUGUGGACGCCAGUCUGCAUGGAGCCGACCUUGAAAUACCACCCUUUAAUGUUUGAUGUUCUAACGUUGGCCCGUAAUCCGGGUUGCGGACAGUGUCUGGUGGGUAGUUUGACUGGGGCGGUCUCCUCCUAAAGAGUAACGGAGGAGCACGAAGGUUGGCUAAUCCUGGUCGGACAUCAGGAGGUUAGUGCAAUGGCAUAAGCCAGCUUGACUGCGAGCGUGACGGCGCGAGCAGGUGCGAAAGCAGGUCAUAGUGAUCCGGUGGUUCUGAAUGGAAGGGCCAUCGCUCAACGGAUAAAAGGUACUCCGGGGAUAACAGGCUGAUACCGCCCAAGAGUUCAUAUCGACGGCGGUGUUUGGCACCUCGAUGUCGGCUCAUCACAUCCUGGGGCUGAAGUAGGUCCCAAGGGUAUGGCUGUUCGCCAUUUAAAGUGGUACGCGAGCUGGGUUUAGAACGUCGUGAGACAGUUCGGUCCCUAUCUGCCGUGGGCGCUGGAGAACUGAGGGGGGCUGCU